UCUCAGAAUCUGAAAUCAACCUCUCCCAAUUCCUCUCUGCUGUCGAACCAAGGAAAAAUUGGAGGGCAUCUGACCAAGUUAUUCGACGAUUAUCUAAACCUCAACUAGAAGAAGCAGCGACAGCAGCAACCGGCGACUCCUAUUGCUACCAGGUCCCUCUUUUCUAGUUCCUCAAAUUGCUUUUGCAGGUAACUCUAUGUCUUGAAUCACUUUUCCUUUUCCUUUUCCCCUUAUCUGCAACUGGCAAUAUCUAGUAUGACUAUUAUUAUAUAUGUUCUGAAUCCAACCACCAACCACUUCUUCACACUCAAUUCUCCAAUUGGCUAGGCCAUAAAAAAGAUAGAAGUGUAAGAACAAUAAAGCCCAAGUGUUCAAUUAAGAUAGGUAGGGUAAUCCUAGAAUUGCUGAACUUAUCCAAAUAUGGCUUGUGUUAUUUGAUUAAUAUAAAAAACGUGAAGACAAAUUUGAAACUGUGAUAUUUUAUAGGCUGCUUCAAGACCAGUGCGUGGCUUUGUUUUGUAAUUGCCAAUAUAUAUAUGCCAAUAAAUUUGAUGGUAUGCAACCUUUGUUUGUAAUUUUGAGUUUUAAGCUAUUUGUCCCCUUCUUCAAUACCCAUAAAGCAUUUUGCCCAAAAUAACACGAAACAUAAAAAUCAGAUCUUAAUUUUGUCUAGCGUAGAAAUAGGUUAGUUAGGUCAGUUUUUCCCUCAAUUUAGAAGCUUAAGUGUGAAAUUUUAGGUCUUUGAAUUGUAUUUGAUUGACAUUCUGGGUUAGGUUAGUUUUGCUAAGAACUUUAGUUUUUCUGUUUUGAUUGCCAAUUUGGUAAUGUAAAGAAAUGGGUAUACCUUAUGAUGGAGAUGCAAAUAGAUUGAUUUAUUGAUGUUAUUUGCAGAAAUGGAUACUGUUGGAAUAUUGGUAUUCUACAACGGAAGCUGGGUUCACAAGGAUAACAUUGAGAGUUAUGAAGGUGGUGAGGCUAAAGGCAUAAUAGUAUCACAGAACGUAACAUUUUCUGAGCUUGUUGACCUCAUUUAUAAGAUCAUGAAUGCAGAUCGCAACAAAUACAUUGUCACAUUGAAGUAUUCUGUUCCUCUAUCAUCAUCUGCCUAUAAGCGCCUAAAGGUUGAAGAUAAUGAUGACGUUCAAUAUUUUCUGAAAUACAACACGGAGUUAUGACCUCUAAAGUAACCCUUUUAUUAGCAACCCUCAAAAUUAUAGAAGGACAUGGUAUUCAAGGCUGCAAUGGCAUUGUAAGCAUUAGGAGUAGCAAUCCUCCCCCUGCAGUUGUUGUGAGAGAUAGGAAUGAGGUAAUUGGGGAUAGUGGAACUGAAAAUAGUGUAACUGGUUUUAAUUGGAAAGAUGGGUUGAAGAUGUUAAUUUUGAAUGUGUCGAAAACAUAGUUGCAGAUUUUUAUGUACCUAGCAACGAAGAGGAAGCAUACUCUACUCCAAACGUGCAUCCUCAUCGAGAAAGCAAUUUCCAAGCCUCCAUGAUGCAAGUUACACAAGUGCAAUCUGAAACUCCGCAACAAUCAAGUUGGACUCAAAUGCAUACAAGCCAGGUUCAUUUGGUGCAUGGUAAGAGUGUGGAAGAUAUUGAUUAUGGUGGAGGUCUUUCUUGCAUAAAUUGGGAAGCAAAUUUUAAGGCUGGACGAGCUUUUCCAAAUAAGCUUGCCCUUAUAAAAACCUUAUGUUUAGCAGCAGUCAUAGGCCACUUUUGAUUUAGAACAAUCCAAUUUGGGAAACGUAGGUUGUGUGUUCAUUGUUGGCAACUUCCUUGCCCUUAGCGACUUCAGGCAUAUAAAGUUGGAUUACAUGAGUUUAGGGUUGUUAAAUACGAUCCAUUUCGUGAAUGUGCUCUAGGGUAUCUUAGUAGUCACCAUCCUCAAGCUAGUACUGGAUUGUUGUCUGACUCUGUGAAACGCAUAUUCAAGGAUUCUCGCACCAUUUAUACUGCAGGUGAUAUCAUCAAAGAUGUGCGACAAAAUUUUGGUGUGACCAUAAGCUACUCUAAAGCAUGGAGAAGCCAAGAGUUAGCUUUAAAGAUAAUUAGAGGGUCUGCAGAAGAGU
rnacentral:lncRNA from 1 species